AAAUUGUACAUAAACUUUCCCCGCCACAGUCAGACCCAUAUCAGUCGGGGAGGCUGGGCUGCUGCAGUGUAACAGAAGUGUAUCCAGUAGCUACGCAGAUCCCAGGAGAGCUUGAACGAAUGUUCCGCCCAGCACUCUGGCACUAUCAGGCUCUGAUCUACAUCUCCCCUGCUGAUUGGCUGCUUGCUUCGGGGGUAACUGUCAAUCAUUCACGGUCAGCUGACAGUAGUAUGACGUAAUGACACCUGACAAGGGGCGUUGCUGGGUUACGAAGCAGUUUUAUCUACACGUCCUUAAAGUAUGCAAAUUCUAAUCUAAGGUUAUGAUAAUUUGCUAUAAAAAUUUCCAUCUGCAAUGAAAAAGAUAUUAACUCUCUCAAUAACACGUGCACUAUUUGGUAGGAAGUAAUAGUCAUGUGUGUAUUUCUCACUGCUUUCAAUGCACAGGGAAAGUGUUAAUGCAUGUUAUUGAUAUUCAAGUUUGUCAUUGGAACAUAAAUGUCAGUGAUUGUUGUUUGACGAAUUAGCACCACACACUGCAACAUACGUUACUUUUGUUUUCCUAUUGAAAAGAAGGCAUAGUAAACGGUCAUUAAAUUUUGGUAACAUUUCAACUAUUAAAUGUUAGUUUCAUAGCCAAAACACCUGUAUCCAUGCAUCUUCUGGGUAUGAAACUAAGCAUGUAUUUGGGAAAGUCAAGCUAAGAGAGUUUUGAUGUAUGGAGCAGUCGCAUUAUCAUUGUAAACAUAUUGACAACUUAAAUUAUUUUAAAAAUAAAUUGUGUGAUGUGAAUGGAAUUAUGUCUUACAGCUGAAAGAAAUACGCAGCCGUUAACGGUACAAUCGUGUGUUUUAGCAGAACAAGUAUAUGUGGACUUUAUUUGAUGCUUUUUAUGACAAUUAUAUUUUUUUAAAGCCAAAAAGCAAUGUAUUCCAUCAUCGAUGCGUGUGACACUUGACAUCAAACUAAAAAAAAAAAUAUGUUCUACUCUUUCAUACACACAAGAUGAAACAUUUCUUAUAAUAUCUUCUAUACAUUUAGUCCUGAUAAGUUCACAGUAAAAUGUUGCAUAUUUAUAAGUGUGGCGAGAAUGACCAUUAUCUUGCAUACUUUCAAUUGAAGCUAUAAUUACCAGUAUUUUACAUACAUAUUUUCAUAAUGACAUAUUUAUAGACAUAUCAAAUACAUGUAGUUUCAUAUAAAACUAGAUGUACCAGUAUGCAUUGUUAUUUGCAAUAGUGUACAUGUUAUGUUUGAUAAAGCGAUGCUGUUCCUAGUAUUAUAAAGAAAGGUCUUAUGUAUUUCAAAUGUACCCAACAGACAACACAAGAAAUUGGUCAUAUAUUUCUUGAACUUAAAAUUGUAUUGUGUUAUAUCUGAAUGAUUUUGGUCUUGAAACUUUUAAAGAUCUCCUGCUUAUAACUUCUUUAUCAAUUCACUUUAACUUACCUGAAGAACUUAUGCACUAAAGAUACUGGUCUGAGGUAUGUACUAUACACGUGUCAUAUGUAGACUGUAUAUAUGCAACGGCUAUCAGACACAUAUGAAUUUAUUAUUUCUAUGUAUGAAUUCGUUUCCAUUUGAUGACAUGGUUUAUAAAAUAUAUCCCACAA
rnacentral:lncRNA from 1 species